UGGGGAAUAUUGCACAAUGGGCGCAAGCCUGAUGCAGCCAUGCCGCGUGUAUGAAGAAGGCCUUCGGGUUGUAAAGUACUUUCAGCGGGGAGGAAGGUGUUGAGGUUAAUAACCUCAGCAAUUGACGUUACCCGCAGAAGAAGCACCGGCUAACUCCGUGCCAGCAGCCGCGGUAAUACGGAGGGUGCAAGCGUUAAUCGGAAUUACUGGGCGUAAAGCGCACGCAGGCGGUCUGUCAAGUCGGAUGUGAAAUCCCCGGGCUCAACCUGGGAACUGCAUUCGAAACUGGCAGGCUGGAGUCGUGUAGAGGGGGGUAGAAUUCCAGGUGUAGCGGUGAAAUGCGUAGAGAUCUGGAGGAAUACCGGUGGCGAAGGCGGCCCCCUGGACAAAGACUGACGCUCAGGUGCGAAAGCGUGGGGAGCAAACAG
rnacentral:rRNA from 1 species